rnacentral:lncRNA from 1 species
GUUCCUUAUAAAUGGUCGGGGCCCAGAAAAUGGCACUCAGAAGGGGGUGACACUUGGGAGGGCUUAGAAAGGACUCUGCAGCGCUUUCAGCUGGUGGCUCUCAAUCUUGAGCAGGCAUCGGAAGCGCCUACAGGACUUAUUAAAACAUGGACUGGCUCCACCUCCAGAGUUUCCAGGUCAGUGGGUGGAAGGUAGAGCUCAAGGAUUUGCAUUUGCAAUAAACUCCAAGUGGUGCUGAUGCUACUGCCCUGGGGACCGUAUUUUGAAAAUCUCAGCUCUAAACUUCAGUCAAAGUUGGUUCAAAAUCCAGGGGACAGUUUAUUUUAAGUUUGGAAAUGUCCAUGCAAAAUUUUUGUCCGGUACUGAGCUGAGCUCUGUCAUUUCCCCCCGCAACUCUCUGAGGAUCCUAACAGCAGAGACAGAUGCCCGGUGGAAGAUGCAGAGUGUGGUUCUCCCCAUCGUCUCAAAGAUUGGAAUGGCUCCCAAGGAUGUAAUCAACCACCCCUCACAAAGCCCCAGGCAGGACAGCAGCUCCUGUGGGGGUCCUGCCCUCCGUGUCUUCAUAACACCACCAUUUUGCACCAAAGACAUCUUGAGACUUCUUUCUUGACCAUCAGCUUCAUCCCCCCACAAACUCAUCAACAUUCCCAAAACUACAUCGGUUCUGUGCCUAGAGAGACAGGACUUGGAGUCCCAAGACAUUGCAACGUGUAUGAAAGCCGCACCCCGUGAGGAUAGAUUGCCGAGUGGAGGGCACCUCCACUUUCGGGACAGUCAUACUCUGCUCUUCCUCCACUUAGGUAAACUCACGUACAG